rnacentral:rRNA from 1 species
UGNAAGUCGAACGAUGAAGCCCUUCGGGGUGGAUUAGUGGCGAACGGGUGAGUAACACGUGGGCAAUCUGCCCUUCACUCUGGGACAAGCCCUGGAAACGGGGUCUAAUACCGGAUAUUACUCCUGCCUGCAUGGGCGGGGGUUGAAAGCUCCGGCGGUGAAGGAUGAGCCCGCGGCCUAUCAGCUUGUUGGUGGGGUAAUGGCCCACCAAGGCGACGACGGGUAGCCGGCCUGAGAGGGCGACCGGCCACACUGGGACUGAGACACGGCCCAGACUCCUACGGGAGGCAGCAGUGGGGAAUAUUGCACAAUGGGCGAAAGCCUGAUGCAGCGACGCCGCGUGAGGGAUGACGGCCUUCGGGUUGUAAACCUCUUUCAGCAGGGAAGAAGCGAAAGUGACGGUACCUGCAGAAGAAGCGCCGGCUAACUACGUGCCAGCAGCCGCGGUAAUACGUAGGGCGCAAGCGUUGUCCGGAAUUAUUGGGCGUAAAGAGCUCGUAGGCGGCUUGUCACGUCGGAUGUGAAAGCCCGAGGCUUAACCUCGGGUCUGCAUUCGAUACGGGCUAGCUAGAGUGUGGUAGGGGAGAUCGGAAUUCCUGGUGUAGCGGUGAAAUGCGCAGAUAUCAGGAGGAACACCGGUGGCGAAGGCGGAUCUCUGGGCCAUUACUGACGCUGAGGAGCGAAAGCGUGGGGAGCGAACAGGAUUAGAUACCCUGGUAGUCCACGCCGUAAACGUUGGGAACUAGGUGUUGGCGACAUUCCACGUCGUCGGUGCCGCAGCUAACGCAUUAAGUUCCCCGCCUGGGGAGUACGGCCGCAAGGCUA